GUAGGUUGACUCCGUGGCUCGAGACGACGCUGGCGGCGCGCCUCAUACAUGCAAGUCGAACGUGAAGCCCGGAGCUUGCUCCGGGUGGAAAGUGGCGAACGGGUGAGUAACACGUGAGGAACCUGCCCCGAAGACCGGGAUAACUCCGGGAAACCGGUGCUAAUACCGGAUGUCCUCACCGGAUCGCAUGGUCCGGUGAGGAAAUGGAUUCCGCUUCGGGAUGGUCUCGCGGCCUAUCAGCUUGUUGGCGGGGUAACGGCCCACCAAGGCUUCGACGGGUAGCUGGUCUGAGAGGAUGUCCAGCCACACUGGGACUGAGACACGGCCCAGACUCCUACGGGAGGCAGCAGUAGGGAAUCUUGCACAAUGGACGAAAGUCUGAUGCAGCGACGCCGCGUGUGGGAUGAAUGCCUUCGGGUUGUAAACCACUUUCAGCAGGGACGAUAUUGACGGUACCUGCAGAAGAAGGCCCGGCCAACUACGUG
rnacentral:rRNA from 1 species